ensembl:lncRNA
UUCACAACCUCAAAAUAGCAAAGACUGAAACAACAACAGAUUGCUGCAUUGACCAGCGCUUGUGAGCGAGAGGGUAUGAGAUAGCUCAGCUUUGGUUUAAAAGAGUUCAAAAAUAUUUGUUAUUGACCAUAACUUAUGGAGAAAAACAGAGCAGACAUUAGACAUGGAUGAAGCUUAGCUGGCUUUCACACUGGGCUCAUGUGCUGUGGUUCGAACCCGAGUGCGAUUGUUCCCGGCACCCCCCGCAGUGAUUAAGGUCUAUAAGGGAAUACACUGAGCUUUAAAAGGGAAGACACAAACAAUAUGGCAAAAAUGCUCGUGUUUCCUGAUUAAAAUGCUUGCAUUUAUGUCUACAAUGUGUUAAGAGAAAUAGCGUGCACACACACAUCCUGUAAGAUGAUAUGUACCACAUCCUGUGUCAACAAUAGGAAGUGCAUUGAUGUGGUUAGAAAAAAACAAGCAUAAUUGUAGAUUGAAGUGUCAAUGUGCAUGAGCACCUCACUUACUUCAUCUGUAAGAAGAGGACUUUUGUAGCUCUUUGGGGUGCUUCCUUUCAUCUGAGAAAGAACACACAGACAUUUUGAGGAACAGCAUGAAGAGGAAACCAGCACUUUAGACUGCAGUCUCAAGAUACAACUGACACCUGAGAUAUUUGAGACAGCAUACACAGAUGAAAGAUAGGAGUGUGUUUCAUGUGAUAUUGGAAUAUUCUACCAGGAGGUCCACACCCAAAAGUUAAAGACAGAUCUGAGGUCAGAACUCUCGUCAGGGCUUGAUAGCUGAAUCGACACAAGUGUCUUGUCCCACAGACAUUAUCCUGAGACAUACAAGAAAGAAAAUGUAUGCAGUUGUUACUCUGCAAGACUCAGAUGAGGUGGCGGUGGCACCAACAAACUGGCUGAGCCUAGACAAGAAACAAUGUUACUGGCCGCCAUUCAAAUCACCAGACAAGUGCAUGGAAGCUGUUCAGAACAGAAUUAAACCUGAAACAGGAGGGAAACCAUGGGAGAAACUAAACAUUAGCUUUCACAGAGAAUAUUUCACUUUUGAGAAGUCAAAAGAGGAGCAACAAGAAAUGAAAGAACGGAAAGAACGGUCAUAUCUAUUAUCCACUGGAUUCCCUGGAAUGCUAAAAAGACAAAGACUUGAAAGCACUCAAGAAAUGUUAAAACAACAACUUCCUCCUGCACCAUCUGCAUCUACAUCCAGAAUGUCAGCUGAUGACAAGGACGAGCUUCUCCAAAUGCUGAGAGACAUCAAGAGCAUGGUUCAGGAAAACUCUGCUAUGUUAAAGAAACUACUAAAAGACAAUACAGCUUCUGAAGUCCCAAGCAGUACUAGCAUUCCUCCUAAAGAUGUUAAAACAAACCUAAAACUGCCUCUUAGAACCAUUAAAGAUGUUGCCAGGACUGAAAGAGAGCUCAAAAAGAAUGCAACAACACGCCAAAUAUAUGUAAGAUAUCUGUCAAGACUUGGAGGUUUUGGGCAAAAGGAUGUGAUUAAGAAUAUUAUGCAGCAUCUCCUAACAGAUGAUCUGGCCACAAAGUUUAACUGGCAGGGGAGAGGAAUUAAAGAGCCCUUCUCUAAGCUUAUCUUAACUGAUGUAAUCAGAGAUGCUGCAUCAAAACAAAGUGUAAUGAGGAUAGACUGUGAAGCUGAAAUAAAAAAUUAUUUGUGGUCCAUAGCUGAUCGAAUCGGUCGGAAUAGACCAAGAGAUUGUGGAGGUCUGACUUCAGAUGUGACUUCUGCCUUGCUGCUGGACAGUAGCUUCCACUCAGUGACUGGAAUGCCUUUUGACUGAGUUUUGAAACAUUUAUUCAUAGGUCAUGUAAGCUUAACUGCCUACACAUUAGACAUUAAUUUUGUAAAGAACAAUAUGUGUACUAAUCUAGCAUGCUAGUAAUACUUCAAAUAUGGGCUCUUGAGAUAAAAUUAUUAUAAUACUCAAUUUUUAAUCAAUGUAAAUGUAAAUAUAUAAGGUUAGGGUUAGGCAAGGGUUUUUAUAUUGUGGUAAUAUAAGAUGAGAUCCAUCAGCCUUUAGCUGACUAGAGGAAAAUAAUGAAAAACUGGAGAAUGUGUUUGACUGUGGUAUCACUGCAUGCAUAGACAGGUUUUCAGGUGUAUUAUAGCAGUGGCUUUAUUUCUCUGAUCCAAUAAUGUUCCUUUCCUCAAUAACAAAUAACUAGUUGUGGUGUUUAAUACAAAUAGGCUAUUUCUUUCUUUUUCAGUGUUACUUAAAUGAGAUGUAAUGAUUUCAUGCAAAAUAAACCACAGCCGCACAUAACA